ensembl:misc_RNA Metazoa_SRP Metazoan signal recognition particle RNA
GCCAGGCGUGGUGGCCCAUGCCUGUAAUCCCAGCUACUCAGGAGGCUGAGGCAGGAGAAUCACUUGAACCCAGGAGGCACAGGUUGCAGUGAGCUGAUAUCACACCGUUGCACUCCAGCCUGGGUGACAGAGUGAGACUCUGUCUUUU